rnacentral:rRNA from 1 species
UAGAGUUUGAUCCUGGCUCAGGAUGAACGCUGGCGGCGUGCCUAACACAUGCAAGUCGAGCGAAGCGAUUUCGAGGAAGUUUUCGGAUGGAAUUGGAAUUGACUGAGCGGCGGACGGGUGAGUAACGCGUGGGUAACCUGCCUCAUACAGGGGGAUAACAGUUAGAAAUGACUGCUAAUACCGCAUAAGACCACAGCUUCGCAUGAAGCGGUGGUAAAAACUCCGGUGGUAUGAGAUGGACCCGCGUCUGAUUAGCUAGUUGGUAAGGUAACGGCUUACCAAGGCGACGAUCAGUAGCCGACCUGAGAGGGUGACCGGCCACAUUGGGACUGAGACACGGCCCAGACUCCUACGGGAGGCAGCAGUGGGGAAUAUUGCACAAUGGGGGAAACCCUGAUGCAGCGACGCCGCGUGAAGGAUGAAGUAUUUCGGUAUGUAAACUUCUAUCAGCAGGGAAGAAAGUGACGGUACCUGACUAAGAAGCCCCGGCUAACUACGUGCCAGCAGCCGCGGUAA